AAAAAAAAAUUUAAUAAGAACAAAAAAAAAAACCCCAAACCCCAGCCACCACCCCAGCAGCCACCACCCCAGCUAUACCGCCGUUCCUCCACCACCCCGAAAACCCACACCCAUUUUUCUCCCUCUCCGAUUUCAGGCCACCCUACCCAAAACCCAUCCCCUUCCCGUCGGUUUCCGAUUCCGGCCACCCACCCAAAACCCCCUUCCCCAUUCCUUUUCGAUUUUGCAGAUCUUAUCGUUUGGAGAAAGAACGAAGGCUAGGCUACGCUGGAUUAAUUCGCGACAUCGUAGCCAUGGAUACUGAGGUUUGGGACAUCGUUUGCAGAUCUUUUCGAUUAGAGAGGUUUGGGAUGAUAAUCUGGAAGACGAGUUUGGUUUAAUUCGCGACAUUGUAGCUAUGGAUAUUGAGUUUCCCGAAAUCGAAAAGGGAUGGGGAAGGGGGUUUUGGGUUGGGUGGUCGGAAUCGAAAACCGACUGGAAGGGGAUGGGUUUUGGGUAAGGUGGCUGGAAAUCGGAGAGGGAGUGGAAGGGGGGUGGGGUUUCGGGGUGGUGGAUGAAGGGGGGUGGGGUUUCGCGGGUUAGGGCCGGGGGUCGCGACGAGUAAGGGGAGGGAUCGCCGGCGGCCGGCGCGCCUUCCGGUGCUAGCCUCGGCGGCAGGGGGUGGUGGUGGCUAGGGUUUUGGGGUGGGCAGGGGGCUCGACGGCAGGGAGGAGAAACGGACCAAUCAGAAGGUGACACGUGGCAAGUGGUGGGGUCAACUAAUGGGCACUAACGGUCAACUAACGGAAAUGGCAUAUGGUGAUAUUGUACUAAACCUCAGUGGCAUUUGGUGAAUUUUGAAAACGCGAUGACAUCUGCUUUUCACUGUUAUUAUCCCCCUCUUUCUCUCUCCUCCAUUGAAGCGCGUAC